GGCGCGAAAUCUGCGGCGGCUGGUUGCUGCGGGGGCGGCUGCUACAAAUCACCCUUCUUGGAUGCUCCGUGAUCAUUACCAGGGCCCUUGCGGAGUCCCGCCAGCUCCUCAGCGGCCCGGCAGAUCCACCAGAAAUGGCUCGAGACCACGCCUGCGAUUCCAGUGCCCGUGAAUUCUACUUUCGUUAUGCCUUCACAAGCACUGAAUAGGGAGUUCCUCACAGACUGGACUUGGGGUGUUUGAAAAAGACAGACAUGUGGAUAACCAGCUUGAUAUAAAUCCUUAAACGUAGGUGACCACAUUCCAUACCACACGCACCCUUCCUACUCCUACAACCUUGCUCACAGCUUGUUGGACGAUGGAAUCAGAACUGGAGAAACAAGAAGAGACACUCCAUGAAAGCAGAAGCUGACAGACACACAGAGAGGCAGUAGUCAGACUUCAUGAGUAAGCACAAGCCGUGAAUAAACACCAGCCGUGAGCAAACAAAAACCAUGAGGCAGCAAAAAGAUACACAAAGUAAUGAUGGAAGUGAUAGAAGAUGACUAAGGCAGCAUCACAUUCUCAGGAGGAAGGGUCCCUAGCCAGACCUGGAGCCAGAGCCUUUAAAAACAAGAAGAAGAAGAAAGAAGAAGAAGAAGAAGAAGAAGAAGAAGAAGAAGAAGAAGAAGAAGAAGAAAGAAGAAAGAAGAAGAAGACUUUGCUCCUGAAAGAUUCAGCUGGAUGGGAACCAUCUUGUUCAUCUCUGAAUCACCUUGCCUAGAGCACUGUCUGGCACAGAGUUGGUGCUCAGUGAUGUUUGUUGAAUGAAGGCCUGGGCACCUAGACCGAUCCCUAUCUUCCCCAAGGGGAAAGAGUCCUGAUGUAGGCCGGCAAGAAUGGAAUCCUUAAAGGCACAAAGCAGAGCAAGCAUGGCAGGAGGAGGAGCUUUGCAGGAAGCAGGGGAGGCAGUCAAGAAACCGUAAAUGAAACUGAACUGGAGCUGCAUUCUGUUGAAUCUCUCUGCCUCUUUUCUUCAUUUCUCUUCAUGUUCUCUCCUAUGGCUUAUCUCAUUACUUCUGGCAAGUUGGAUCUGGGCAUCCCAAGCAGGACUGGGGUGGAGGCAUAUAUGGAAGAGGAGGCCUGAGGUCUGGUUUGAACUGGGAGCUAGUUUUGACUCUGAACUAAAGGACCCCAGCCUUCAGCUUCUAGAACUGCUGGGCACCAGCGCUGCCCAUUCUCACACAGGUCUCAGGACACUUACCACACCAUCAACCUAGCCCGUCCCUCUCCUCUCCUGCCCUAUUUCCUUUCCCCUUCUCCCCUCCAUCAGUCAUGGCAAAUGGGGUUUGAGAGGGGAUAGGGAAGAGGGGAUGGGAAGCCAGGCCAGGAAGAGAUGGAUAUAUUUGACUGGGAGCCUAAGAAGGGAAGGAAGGACACAGUGCAUCAAUAAAUAUAGGAUAGGAGUUAAGGUUGAAGAAAUGUUGUUAGAUUUCUGAACCAUGUUUGCUAUUUUAGUAUCGGAAAUGAUUGUCAGUUAAAAUCUCUGCCCUGGGGAUCCCUGGGUGGCGCAGUGGUUUGGCGCUUGCCUUUGGCCCGGGGCGUGAUCCUGGAGACCCGGGAUCGAGUCCCACGUCGGGCUCCCGGUGCAUGGAACCUGCUUGUGUCUCUGCCUCUCUCUCUCUAUCUCUCUGUGACUAUCAUAAAUAAAUAAAAAUUAAAAAAAAAAUUAAAAAAAAAAUCUCUGCCCUGGUAUUGGGAAAGCUACAGAAAGCUGGAGCUUCCCGAUAUGCAGCUAAUUCUGGAGUAGCAGUGUGGUACUUGAGGCCAUGGGAAAAAGUGCAUGCACUUUGGAGUAAGAUUGAGCUGGGUUACCACUUGCUAGCUCUCUAGUUUGGGGCAGGUUCCUUAAUCACUCUGGAUUUUACUUCUUUUUUUCUGUAAGAUGAAGAUAACAAUAGUAUGCACACACACAAAAAACCAAUAGUAUGCACUUUAUAGGAUCAUAAUGACUAAAGGAAAUGAGCUUUAUCAAGUUUUGUGAAAUGUGCUUAGGAAACUCAAAUGAUACCUAUUGUUAUCAUUAGUAAUAUGAUCAUCUUGUGCUCUUUACUUACACAAAGUGAGGUAUUUUCUUUUCUUCUCAGCUCUGGGUUGGAAGCAAAAUAGACUGAGUUUCUGAGAAUUCUUAAGAGGAAGACAGGCACUCAGACAGCCUGUCUGAGAAGCAAUUCUGAUAGUUUAAGGUUCAGGAAGCCUGUAGAAUUCCACAGCAGUGACUAUAAUGGGGGCUCUGGAGACCGUUAGUUCUCAAGAUGAGAGGGUGAUUAACUAGGAAAAGCGUAAAAGUUUUACUUUGGGAAAGUUUGCCCACAUUGCACGCUGCCCUUUCUCUACAGGUCUGAAUUGUAAGGAGUGGCCAAAUCCAAUUUAACCAACAAACAAGCCAGUAAGCCAGAGAGCUGGCUAUUAAGCUACUGUAAGCCCUGGCACAUUUGGCUUUACCUCCCCAGUUUCUGUAACAUUUCCCAUAGUUUCCCAUGGCUGGGCUCACUGAUGCAAAAUCCCCCCAGGCCCGCAGUUUUUGCCUAUCAUCUGUGGAAUUAGUUCUUUACGCUGAAUUAGUUCUCUAUGCUGCUGUUACAAAUGAUACAACCUUGGUGGCUUAAACAACACAGAUUUAUGAUCUUAUCGUUCUAGAUAUCAAAAGAGCAAAAUUCGUCUCAUUGAGCUAAAAUCAAGGUGUCAGUAGGGCUAUGUUCCUUUCUAGAGGCCCUGGAGGGGAUAAUCUGUUUCCUUACUUUUCUAGCGUCUAGAGGCCACCUGCAUUUCUUGGCUAAUGGCCCCUUCCAUCGUCAAAGUCAGUAACGGCUGAGUGAGUCCUCACAUCGAGUCAUUCCAACCUCUACUUCUGUCAUCAUAUUUCCUCUUGAAUUUCUGCUUCCCUCUUCCAUAUUAAGGACACUUAUGGGGCAGCCCGGGUGGCUCAGUGGUUUAGCGCCACUUUCAGCCCAGGGCCUGAUCCUGGAGACCCGGGAUCGAGUCCCACAUCGGGCUCCCUGCAUGGAGCCUGCUUCUCCCUCUGCCUGUGUCUCUGCCUCUCUCUCUCUCUCUCUCUCUCUGUGUGUGUGUGUGUGUUUGUCUCAUGAAUAAAUAAAUAAAAUCUUAAAAAAAAAAAAAGGACACCUAUGAUUAGAUAGGGCCCACCUGAAUAAUCCAAGAUAAUCUCCUUAUUUUAAAGUCAGCUGAUUUGGGGUGCCUGAGUGGCUCACUUGGUUGGGCAUCUGCCUUCAGCAAAUGUCACAAUCCUGAGAUCCUUGGAUUGAGCCCCACAUCAGGCUCCUUGCUUGGGGAGGAGUCUGCUUCUCACUCUUCCUCUGCCACUACCCCCCCCCCCCCGCUGUGCUCUCUCUCUCUCUCUCUCUCAAGCAAAUAAAUAAAAUCUUAAAAAGAAAAUAAAGUCAGGUGAUUUGCAACCUUAUUUCUAUUUGCAACCCUUGCCAUAGUUCCAUGAUUUCCCUGGCCCUGUAAUGUAACCUAUUCAUAGGUUCCAGAGAUAGAUAUGUGUAUAUUUGGGGGCUCUUGUUCCACCUUCAACAACUCUUAUCCAUUAUGCCCUGCUCUGUGAUUCUAAACCCAGAUUUAGAAUUUAGUAAAGUCCCUCAGAUACCAGGCUCGAGCCAUCUUCCUUGUGAUGGUGUCCAUGAAUCCCAUGCUGGAGGAGUUGGUCUCUGGUCUCCCCAGCUCCCUUCACCUCAUUUGACCUUCAUGUAAAAUGACCCGAGGUGAGGUGCCAUACACUGAGCAUGCAAGUACUCUGGUUGCUCUGCUCAAACUGGUGGGUAGGAGAAAUUUUUUUUUAUUUCUUCACAUUCAGAUUCUUUGUUGUGAUAGCUAGCUAAUCAAGUUUUUCUUUGAUGAAUAUUUUCAAACAUAAGAAGCUUAUCCAUCCAUUCUACGUCCCAGCCUUAUCUGAUAGUACUUUCAUUAACUCGAAACUAACCGAUUAACUCAGGUACUAACUCAAUUAAUGCCUGAGGACAGUUUACACAAACUACAAUAAUCAUUAGCUGCCAGUUCCUAAACCUACUCAGAGGUGCCUGUACUGUUUUAGAUAUGUACAGAAAGGCACACUCAUACCUUCUUAGAUACAUGCGUGAAGAAACACUCAUGUACAUGCACAGUGAUCAUUGUAGUGGGGAGAAGAUCUUAAACAUCUAUUAAGAUGUGCUAGAUGUCCACAGGAUGACAUAUGCAAGUGUUGCUCUAUAUAGAACUAAUAUAUAGAGCUCAUAUAGCUCUGGGUGUUAACUAACUGGAAUUAAAAUAAAAAUUUAAGUGAAGAAAGAUGUGCUGUAUAUCAUCUUAAGGGGAAGGAAACAUUUAUUGAGAACCUGCUUUGUUGUUGAAAACUUUAUAUUUGGGACGCCUAGGUGGGUCAGCAGUUGAACAUCUGCCUUUGGCUCCAGGUGUGAUCCUGGGGUCCUGGGAUGGGGUCCCACAUUGGGCUCCCUUGAGGACCCUGCUUCUCCCUCUGCCUAUGUCUUUACCUCUCUCUGUGUGUCUCUCAUGAAUAAAUAAAUUUUAAAAAACUUUAUAUCUUAAACUUACUUUAAUUCUCAUUAUAAUGCAGGAAAACAGCUUUUAUGAUCUCCCUUUUACAAGUGGGAUAAUUGCAGCCCUAAAAAUCACACAGCUAGUAAGAUUUGAACAUUUCACACCUGCACUGUUUCUAAAACGUUUCUCAACUUUUUUCUUUUCCCUCACUUGACCAACCUUAAAGCUGGGGAAUGAACCAGAAUAGAGUUGUUCAAAGUGAGGUUACUGAAGCGAACCCCAGAGUUUUAUGGGGGUACUCAGAGGCUCCUCACAUGGAAAUGAAGGUGCUUGGUAAGAGGCAAGCUGAGUGGGCUGGGCUUUGGGCUCUUCCCACCCUCCAUCAGGCCAGUUCUGCUAUUAUUAGUUCUACAUAUUGGGAUGCAAUAUAAUAUUUCAAUAGAAAGGAAGAUGGGAUGGAGUUCUGCUAAAAUAGCCUCUUGAAGGCCAUUAGACUGGAAUCUGACCACCAUGCCCUGUGAUUCUGGAAGUCUGUUCUAAUUGUCCCCAGUUAAUUAACCAGUUCUUCCAAUGCCAGUGCCUUGGUUAUCCUCUGAAUGUGAUUAGGGGCUUUGCUCUCUAGAAUGAAAGAGAAUCAUCUCAGCUAGUAAGUGAUGCAAGAAUUAUUAAGGUAGAGUAGCAGCAAGAUUCUCAGGCACUUGGCUGCCCCACAGACCAAAUGUAAGCUGAGAGCUGAGGGGAAGUCAGAUUCGUGUUAAAGACAGUGCUGAUCCGGCACUAGACAGUGGAAGAUUCUACAGAAAAGGAACCCCUCACAGUGAUGGUAAAUGGGGUAUGAGGAGGUACCCAGAUAUUUUGAAAAUUGUCCCUUUUAGGGACUAUAUGUGGUUAGGAUAUCGAUAUGGUCCCUUCUGAGACGCUGCCUUGCUGUACCACUGGUUGGCUUAUCGUGAGUCAAUAUGAGACUCUCAAAGCAAAUUCAGUCCCAUCAGAGUAUCACUUAUUUAAAUCUGUAACGGAGAUAAGAACUUUGAAAAUUUUAAGUCAGCAUCUCAUAAGCUACAAUGUCUGGGUGAGUCAAUAUCUGAAAGAAGACAAGAGAUCAUAUGUGGAAUUUAAGAAACAAAACAAAUGAACAAAGGGGGAAAAAGAGAGAGAAAGAGAAGCAAACCAAGAAGCAGACUCUUAACUAUAGAGAAUUGAUGGUUACCAGAGGGGAGUGGGCAGGGGAAUGGAGACCUGCCAUAAGGAGGUCACUUGCUGUGGUGAGCACUAGGUGAUGUAUGGAAGUGUUGAAGCACUGUAUUGUACACCUGAAACUACUAUUACACUGUAUGUUAACGAACUGAAAUUUAAGUAAAAUAUUUUUUAAAAAGAAGACAAAAGAUAGAAUGAAAGCUACAUUUUCUCUUCUUUCAGAGGACACUCUUACGCCCGCUUCCCUGAGUUACUCCUUGGUAUUCCCUCAAUGAAGAGUACUAAAAAUAACUGACAUUUAUUGUUGGAGCUCUUAAAUCUUUACGAGCACUUGAGUCUUUAACAGAGCCUCAAAUUGUCCUCCUCAAAACACCUCGCCUCUCUUCCAUAGUAAUAGGAUUCCCAAGUUUUAGCUGUGCCCAAAGCUGCCUGGAAUUUCCCAGCCUCCCUUGCAGCUAGAUGUGACCAUGUGACUCAGUUCUUGUCAGUGAGAUACAAGUUGAAGUGUUGUAUGGCAGCUUCUGCCGUUAUCCUCAAAAGGUAAAUGGUAUGUGCUCUUUGACUCGUCUUCACUCCAUCCUCCAUCCUGCUUCCUGGAACACAGAUGUGAUGGUUGCCAUGAUAGUUACCAUCUUGGACCAUGACAGUGAGGGCCACAAUGAAGGAAUGAAGAACAGGGAGAUGACCUGGGUCCC